rnacentral:lncRNA from 1 species
ACCAUUGUUGACCACGGAUAAUCGAAACCAUGGAUAUGGGGGACUCCUCUAUGCUCAGAAACCAUGGAUAAGGGGGACUCCUGUAUGCUCAGUUCAUCAUCUUUAUCCAACCUCCUCUCCUAUUUUACCACCUUAGAAUUUCUGUAUCAGCCUUGAAGGGUAAUCAGGCUAAGUGCAUGGUGCAGAGGGCAGAAAGAAGACAAAGAACGAAGAUAAAAGAAGCCUUUUUCCUCAAGAAGAUUGUAAUCUAGUGGUGGAGCUGGAAAAUAAAGGAAAGCAGUGGCCAUGUAUGUCAUGAGGACAUUCCAGUAACCCCAUGUGGUAAGGAACCAAGUCAGCCUGCCAACAACCACUGAAAAACUGAGCCCUCCUGCUGACAGCCAUGUGAGAGGAACACCUGGGAAGUGGAUCCUCCAGGCCUGGUCAUACUUCAGAUGACUGCAGCCCAAGCCAACAUCUUGCUUGAGUGGAGCCUCAUGAGUGACUCAGUCAAAACCACACAGCUGAGAUAUUUCCAACCCACAGAUACUGAGAUAAUAAAUGUUUAUUGCUACUAGGUUUCCUUCCUUCCUUCCUUCCUUCCUUUUUCUCUUCUCUUCUCCUUCCUUCCUUCCUCCCUCCCUCUCCUCCUCCUCCGUCUUCUUCCUCUUCCUCUUCUUCCUCUUCCCCUUCCCCUUCCUCUUCCUCCUUCUUUCUUUCUUACUUUCUUUCUCUUUCUUUCUUUCUUUCUCUAUGAAAAUAUCAGGUGUACUAUAUUUUACCUGCCUUCAUGUAUAUUUGAAUAAUUCCAUAAUAAAACUUUUUAAAAUUCACUUGUAUUUUUCUUUAUUUUUCUAAGGAUUUAAUUUAAAUAAUAACUAUUAAUAAUUUAGUUAAAAUUUAUUUUCUUUAAAAAGAGUCAUGUUAAGCCCCUUCACAAUUUUUCCCCAAUAAUAUUUACAUACAUUUGAAUUUUCC